GCUUUUAUAGCUGAUCCUACAAAUUGAUAUAGGUUUGCAUCUGAAUUUCUGCCCAGGAAAAUAAAGAACAAGAGCGUGCAUGGACUCAACAGGGAUUCUGAGUAACUAAUGCUGCCAUGAAUAUCUCCAAAGGACAGAUGAACAAAGAAAGGAACAGGUAUCUAACUCUAUUAGGACCCCCUUCUGGUAAGAGCUUAUCUUAGUGCAUUGAUGAGCUCCCUGCCUGUGCAGGAACCCCUCCAGGUAACUGCUUAUCUUAGUGACGUAAAACUCCUUGCCUGUGCAGG